UACGGAGGGUGCAAGCGUUAUCCGGAUUCACUGGGUUUAAAGGGUGCGUAGGUGGGCAGGUAAGUCAGUGGUGAAAUCUCCGGGCUUAACCCGGAAACUGCCAUUGAUACUAUCUGUCUUGAAUACCGUGGAGGUGAGCGGAAUAUGUCAUGUAGCGGUGAGAUGCUUAGAUAUGACAUAGAACACCAAUUGCGAAGGCAGCUCACUACACGAAUAUUGACACUGAGGCACGAAAGCGUGGGGAUCAAACAGG
rnacentral:rRNA from 1 species